GUGUCUGGUAGUGAAAGAGGAAGGCAGAGCAACAUACCAUAAAGGUUAGAGGUUAGAGAGAGCUGCUAUCAGUUUGGGUAAGAAAGUGGAAAAUUAGAAAGCUGGCUUUCCAACGGACGUUUGAACCAGCGAGCGCCAAAUAUCAAAUAAGAGGCUGGACAGCUGCCUUACCUGUGCUCCCAGUCGAGUGGAUACACAGUGAAGACCAAAAGGCUUGCCUGCAGUGAAAAGUUAAAGCCCAGAAAUAGGGAGAGAGCGCUGGCACUUGGGAGCAGAACAAAAAGCAGAUCUGGAGAGGAGCCGUGAUGGAAAAGCUGCCUGUGUACCACGGCCCCAUCGGCAAGGAGGAGGGCGAGAGGCGGCUGGCUCAGGACGGGCGGGAUGGCUGCUACCUAAUCCGCAAUAGUGACUCUGUGCCGGGCGUCUACUGCCUGUGUGUGCUGUACAGCGGAUACGUCUACACGUACCGACUCCACAAGGACGACGCAGGAUCUUGGGCUGCUGAAACCACUCCUGGUGUGCCGAAACGAUAUUUCCGGCAAAUCAAGAACUUGAUAGUAGCUUUCCAGAAGCCGGGACAAGGAAUUGCCAUGCCUCUGCUCUACCCUGUGACAGCAGCUCAGAGACAAACAUACACAGAGGAGGCACAGACGGCCAGUAAUAGCCUGUCACCGACACACAGCAGCCCUAACGCUUACUUCCAGCAGCGGCCGCCUCAUGCUGCUCAGGGACACAAAAACAGGAACAAAAAGGAGAUGCGGCAAGCUUUUGGUUAGCUCAGCUGAUGUCCAGCGGGCCAUUAGCAAGCUAUCCUCUAGUAGUGGACCUGGCCCUGACGGCAUUGAGGAUGACACCGCGUCCUGUUCCCAAGUACUGAGUCCUCAGCAGCCGCCCGUCCAGGCCGUAGUCCUGAAUAAAGGAGGACUGGCUGUCAGGGGGGGU